UACGAAGGGGGCUAGCGUUGCUCGGAAUCACUGGGCGUAAAGCGCGUGUAGGCGGUUGUUCAAGUCGGGUGUGAAAGCCUUGAGCUCAACUCAAGAAAUGCACUCGGUACUGGAUGACUAGAGGACCGGAGAGGAUAGUGGAAUUCCCAGUGUAGUGGUGAAAUACGUAGAGAUUGGGAAGAACACCAGUGCGAAGGCGGCUAUCUGGACGGUUUCUGACGCUAAGACGCGAAAGCGUGGGGAGCAACAGG
rnacentral:rRNA from 1 species